rnacentral:SRP_RNA from 1 species
GCCGGACGCGGUGGCGCGCGCCUGUAGUCCCAGCUACUCGGGAGGCUGAGGUGGGAGGAUCGCUUGAGUCCAGGAGUUCUGGGCUGCAGUGCGCUAUGCCGAUCGGGUGUCCGCACUAAGUUCGGCAUCAAUAUGGUGACCUCCCGGGAGCGGGGGACCACCAGGUUGCCUAAGGAGGGGUGAACCGGCCCAGGUCGGAAACGGAGCAGGUCAAAACUCCCGUGCUGAUCAGUAGUGGGAUCGCGCCUGUGAAUAGCCACUGCACUCCAGCCUGGGCAAUAUAGUGAGACCCUGU